AAUGAAGAUAUUGAAUCUAUAUAGGCCCCCUAUUAUAUAGAAUCUAGCUUUAGUUGACUCUAGACUAGAUCUAGGAUAAUUUCAAGUCUAGAUGUUCAGCUUCAUCUUACCUUGAUCAUGAUGAUUAAUUUUAAUCUGACUUCCUGACUUGUUAACUUAAACUUCGUCUUACUUAGCCCUUAGGCGCCUUAGCCUUAGCUUCUUCAUAUGUGAAUCAUGAAUGGAAGUGCUUGGCUCACAGUGUCACAGAUCGUUCUUUAAACUAUUUGAAGAUCUACUUUAUCUUUACUAACGACUCUAAUCUAUAUCUAGUUUAUGUCUAUAUUUUAUAUGAUAAUAAUAGACAUCAUCUAGAUCUAGAAUCUGUAUCUAGAUCUAUUCCCAUUUGUGAUUUAUACACUACAGAUUUAAUGUUUCUGAUGAGCAAUACUACUAUCUACAGUCUACAGCCAUGCCCAUUAACAUAGGCCCUACUCAUGUACUAGAUCUAGCUCUUUUGAUCACAACUCAUAUCUUGCCUAGAUAUAAACAACUGUACUAGAUUGGACUAGACAUUCUAAUCGGUUCUAUUUUCGUUUUUCAUUAUUCUCACAUAUUCUAGUAGGCAAUAGGUACCAAAUUGUGCUAUUUAUUCACUGUAGAUCUUAACUUUUCUCUUAACUACCAAAGAAGUACACAAAGGAUGUUGAAAGGUACCCAAAGGGCUCUUAUUGCUACCAUUCAAUGUGUGGAAUCAAGUAUUUACCCAGAUACUGCCACAAUAUGCUCUUAUUGUUUUCAAAGGAGUUUUCACACAGUGCCAGAAGCUGUAUAAAUACAUUUAACAAUGUAUAUUUCAAGAAGAAAUGAUGCUUUCUUAUUUCUAAGAGUUUAUCAAUAGGAUGAAUGCCACAAAACUCACUUGUUAUGCCAGAAACUCUUCCUACGAAACUUCCAUACUAGAAUUUGUCCAGUGCCUGUGAUCCUCUGAGUUGAAGAAGAAUGUGCUCCAUAAGACCUACUAGGAGCUUGCUGAUAGCUGGAAGUUCAUGAAUACUAUGUUGUCCUUGAUUUGAUGAUUCUGAAAACUACCAUUUCCAAAGACUUGAGCAUUAUUUCUAUAAUU